GUUCCUCUGAAGAAGUGUUGUUUCUCUGCUCUCAAUCAAGCAAAGACGCAUAAAAAAAGUGCUGGUGUUGCAGUGAGGCUUCACAACGAGAGACACGGGCUGCUUUAAUACGAAUCCUGUGGCUCUCGGGACGAUGAAGAACACCUUUGUCUGUGAUGAAUCCAUGAUCAUCACCAUUCCUGUUGGACCAUCUUGACGGUCUCUAGUUUUUAUCAAUGAUCGCUUCAAGGUCCUUGUCAUCAAGGGGAAAGCUCAGCCACUCGGAGUAAGUUCAAUGGAGGAAAUGGUAUUGCAGAGUCAAAAAUUAUGCUUUUUUCUGUCAUUGUGUGGAAAUAGAAAAACUUUCAUCAAGUUUACAAAAAUGUUAUUAACCAGUAUUUGCAUUGUCUGUUUUGUUUUCAUUAAAAUUAGGCAGCCCAAGCUGUCUUUGGUCUGCUUCUUUGUGCUCUUGCACUGGUUUUCUAUGAUACAUAUUUUUGGAUCUUUACAAUUCCAAGCAUUGUGGUGAGUUUUUUCACAGAAUUUAGACAUUUUUUAAAGAUCUGAUUAUAUGUGUUUAUAAACUAAAAACAUGUCUUCUUCUUCUGUUAGUUUGUGAUCUGUGGCGGGUUGUCCUUUGCCGCUGGGAAAUGUCCAAACAUGAUUGUGGCAAAGCUGUCAUUUUCCCUGAACAUUCUGAGUUUAUGUUGGUCAAUUACAUCAUUUGUUUUGAAUCUGAUAAUCUUGAUCGAACAUUACUGGUACCCCUCAUAUUAUCCAUAUUAUAGGAGAAAUGAAGAAAUCCUAGCUCUGAUAUUGAGUCUGCUGGUUAUUGAAUUUUUCAUCUGCAUUUUCCUGAUCUACUGGUUGAGUAAAGCCAUUUGCAGACAACACUUUAAUAUGCUGCCGACUAUAGUGCUGAAACGAGGAAACUGAUAUUUGAAGAUCGGAGAGAAUCAAGAGUCAACAUCGUGUAUGCUGUACUUUGCUUGUAAAACUCAGCAAUUGUUUUCAUGUCAGAUUUCAUUUUAUGCACAGCGGUAAGGAGGUCGACUCUUGAUCAAAGCAUUGCAGGUUUGACUCCUGCCUUACCGGCCCAUGUGUCGAAGUGUCCUUGGGCAAGACACUGAACCCCAAAUUGUCUCUGGUUGAAGGUCGGCGCCAGUGUUCGGCAGCGGAGCAACCAUCAGUGUGUGAAUGUGUCUAAGACUGUAAAGCGCUUUGGGCCUUCAAAGAAAGGUAGAAACGUGCUAAAUAAGUAUACACCAUAUUACUGUAAAAUACCCACAGAGAUAGAAUCUGUUGUUUAUAGGACACUUUUUGAUUCAGCAGUGAGAUCAAUAAAGUUUACAUCUAAUCUCAUCUCCUCUGAGGAGAAUUUUGUCUUUACCUUGUUGCAAAACUUUUACUUCAUUGCUUAAAACUGCAAGUUGUCAAGAAAAGACAACUUUAAAGUGAAAAGUGACAUGAAAAGGAAAAAGGCAGGAUCUCAAGUGUGUCUGAGCAGCUCCUGGUAGGAAUCCAUGUUUUUAUCUGUAUACGUCAUUGUCAUUUUUUCACUAACUAAAUAAUGAUUAAAUUGGUCUAGAUUUUUCCUAUAUUUGGAAACUGUUAUUUUUGUCAAUAAUUGAUUCAACAGACUUGACAUAACAUUUCAGUGAGUCUGAUCAUUUAAAACUUUUUAUGUUGAUGAAAAUAAUUUCCCAUUUAUUUCUGCCUUUAAGAGUAAGAAAACUAUGGUGAUAAUAUCCUAAUGUUGAUAAAAUCCGUCCAAACAAUCAUCAACUUAAGGUUCGAUAUGUCAGACUGCUUUGAGAAUUCAAUUUAUAUCAUUUUGAAGCAACAUUAAUUCAAUUCAUAUACUAUAAUCUGGUUUUUAAGAUUUUAAUUUAAUCAAAUGUGUCAGGGAUGGUGGUGGAGGACCCAAAUGCAGGAGACCAGACUUGGUGGCAGAAACAUAAAAGUUUACUGAAUCAACUAAAACAUGACAAAACCAGGAGGACAGAACAUAGAAGAGCAGAUGACCUGACAAUGAGAAACUGAAAACCAGACACUUAAAUACACUGAGGUUGAUUAACUAAAUGAAGACAGCUGUGGAUGGUUAACCUGAACAUGGGGAAAAUGACAGGUAAAACAGAAGAUGACAAAACCUAAGCACAGAAUCAUGACAAAAUGAACCUGUAUUAUCGAUAAAAUACUUAAUAUGGAAUUAAUUACAACAGGAUCUGUGUUGGUGAAGCAAAAAUUUGAUCUGGGUCUAUAUGCUAAACUUUACUUCAGUAAAUGUCACUUAACAAAACUCUUUUAAAUUCACUGAAUUAUAAUAGAAGCACAACUAUUUCUGUCUUAGUUAAGUAACAAAUACUUGAACGUGUGGAUAGCACUUGCUUCUUAUACUUCUUAUACGGUGCAAAAUGUUCGUGAUGUUUGUGUGCACUUGCAUCACUCUGGGAGAUAAGGCUUUUUAAACUUAAACAAAAAAGUUGCUGACAUGAAAGGAGGAAGUUCUGAAAACUUAAUUUAUGUACAAAGUAAAUAGUAAAUUCUUCAAUAAAGAU
ensembl:lncRNA